UCUGGUUCUCAUUACCUCUCAACCUGCCUGCGUCUGAUCCAGAGAAAGAGCAGAUUGCAUUCUUACCCAAAUACUCUUCGCGAUUGCCUGCUUUGCGGCUUUGGGGUAAGUCCCAGUUUUCCACAACCUUAAGGAAAAAAAAAUGCAUAACAUAAAAGAUGCCAGAAAGACUUAUAUGUCCUGAUGUUUGGGGUCUGUGAAAUAUACAUUGGGUUGUUGUGUGUGUGGGGGAUGAUGAAAUAAAGAGAAGAGGUUUGUUUCUGCAAGGAUCAAAAGUGUGCGAAAGUGUGCAUAUGCAAACGAGGCUCCCAUCAGGAAAGCCACCUCUGGAAUGGAAAUGACAAAGCUUGGAACACACACAAUCAAUUAUUUUCACUAGCAUUUAAAAUAUAGAAAACAAAAUCUGCUUUGGGAAUUGACUGAAUAUUUUAUUUAGCUUUUUUAUUGAGACAUCCUUUGAAAAAUGGCAUAAUAUAAAUAGUUUUACAAAGCAACAAUAUAAUCAAUCUCUAAACUAGAAUAUAAAUCAAGGAUUUCAUUAACUGCUGGUAGCCAGUUUAAAUUGUAGUCUUGUCCAUAAUGUCUAUCUAUCUAUGUAUGUCCAAGUUAUAUUAAAAACCUUUAAAUGGCUUUGUAAUAUCAGCUACAUCUAGCUAUUAUAAUAAUUAAUGGUACUGUUUUAUAAAUCAAUACAUGUAUUCUUGAUAAAUUCAUAUCCAGUUAAUGGUGUAAUUUAAAUAAAAAAUUAAUGUAAUAAAGGACAUACAGAAAUGGGCAGGAAAUCUUUAAAGGUUAAGAGCCAAAUUUGUCUAAAUUCAUUUUUAACCUGUUUUGGAAAAGUUUAUAUUUAAAAUCAGCUGAGAUUUACCUUGUUUCCAUAAAACUAAUCUUGCCAUUUCUGGUGGUAUCUACUAUUGAAUUUGUAAGAUGUUUUCUUUUUUAACUGUUAAGUUUUAAUGACAUGCUUACAAUACUGUGGAAUAUUUUACUGCAAUUAUAACAUUUUGUUAUUGUUGAAUAUCCUUUAGUAAAAUAGAACAAAACAAAAAAAAACCCCUCAAACCAGUUAUUUAUUUUUAAUACACAAAUGAAAUGUAAAUGCUUUAUUUUUUAUAUACAUAUAUAAAUGAACUGUUCUGAAAAUCUCCAAAGCUAUAUAGAAAUUUUAUUUAAGAGGCAAAAGGACUGAUUAGUUCAAUGAAUUUGCAUGUGUAAGAGGCUAGCGUUUUCACUGCUUUCGCUGAAUGAACAUCCCAGGAAUUUUAGAAAAGAAAAAAAUUGCAUGGAAGAGUCUGAAAUGUAUUUUAACGCUGCACACGGGUAGAGAAACAUUCUACAAAAAGAACAGUGUAUUAUUGUCCUGAUUUUAAAAACACAUAGCAAAGGCAUAUUAAAAAAAUAACAAGAUUUAGAAAAACAACUGAAGGGUGUAUGUUAUCAAAUACAACAUCAAACCUUUCCAAAUAAAAUUUCAUUCGGUGUAUAGAGUAAGCAUUUUACAAAAAAUAUCUUUCAGAAUUAUGCAAACCAGUCUGCCUUGCCAUCCUCCCUGACGUGGUGCAGAAAUGUUCCUUUAAUCCACUGAGCUUUUUCUGACAUUUUUCGUAACAUUGCUGAGUCUUAUUUAGAGCAGCAAAGGAGGCGUAUGCAGUUCCUUUUGACACUGAUGGGUGUUUCAAAAUGUUGAGAGAGAGAGAGAAUGACAGAGAGAGAGAGAGAGAGAGAGAGGAGAGAGAGAGAGAGAGAAGAUUUGCUACCAGUCACUUCAUCAAUAGAACUACAGGAGCAAUUACUAUUUGUUAAAAGUUUACAUUUCAAAUAAAGCUAAAUUUUAAAGAAGGCUCAUCCUUUUAGAAGGUCUGGUGCUUGGAAGAGGGAGAAGAGACUGCACAUUAGUGAUUACAUGUUUAAAGUGCACUCAAGUACUGGAACCAUUUAAAACGUAUUGUGUUUUUAGAUGAAACCUGCAGCAAAACCACUCCUAAGAGGCUUAAUUUAGGUUUUAUAGGAGGAACAUAAAAAAGACCAGGUUACAGCAACAUGCUGAAAUAUGGGGUACAUUUUAAAUAUCUUCAUUUAAAAACGUAUGUUUAUUUUCCCUCCUGGGAUCACUAACGUGUGUCUCUGCAGAGAAAGCAAGGACAUGCUACAUUCUUAAAAAUUAUCUGUUAAAAGGGAUCACAUUCUGAGACAGGUUUGAGCAUUUUUAUUACUACAGAUAACCUCUUAAUUAUGUCACUGCCUUCCACUUGUUAAUCAGGGACCUUCAACAGAGUUAACCAUGGAGUGGUUGCCGUUGGAAGAAUACAUUCUUAUUAAGGAUGAAAAACAUAUUUUAUUCCUUUAAUCAUAUUUCAUGUAUUGUUUUAGCACUGCUAAAAACGUAUUUACCUGCUUAAAAUACAUAACACCUAAGGAAGCGUCUAGAUGCCUAUAACUGUGUUGUUCAUCACUGCAGACUGUGCAGCCCAUGAAAAGCUUUAAGGGAUAAUUUUACUUUUCCUGUCUCCCCCCUUCCCUCCCCCCAUCCCACACAAUUCCUAUCUGAACUAAUUUUCGGUUUCUUCUGCAGCCACCAGUGUUUGAGAUACCCAGAUACUCUUUCAGAGAGCAAGGUGUAAGUGAAGUAAAUAAAAUCAUGUUUCACUGUUGCUUUAUCAACCCUCCUAGGUAGUUUUUCUGCCAGCCAACCUGCGCUGUUAAGACCCAUAAAAUUAUGCAAUAGUGACUUCUUUGGAGGUUCUCUAAUCAGAUAAUGGCCAGUGUUAGGAGGGAAGGGCCCAAGGCAAUGUUGCUGGCACUUAACACUGUGGUUGGUCAUUACUUGUCUGGUAGAGACCAAUAAACAGCUGAUUACUAUCCUAUAAGGAGCCAAUAUUUUACAUUUAUCCUGGUUAUUUUUUCCUUUUCUUUCCUACUUCUUAUUACAGGGAGUAUUUGUCAAGAAGAUCUAUGAGGAAUAGCCUCACAGGCACCUUAAAAAUAAGAAUUUUCCUAGCAUGAAAUGAUGCUUUUUUUGUGGAAAGGUGAGAAUGAUGCUGGCUUUUAUAAGAGCAAAGGUUCCAUUAGUUUAAAGUUCAUUUCUUUCAGACAGGGACACUCCCGGACACCAUCCCUGUGGCUCCUCUGUCCCCUUUUCUCCCUCUGUGACAGGUUCACAGGCUGCAACUAAGGGGUUUUAAAAUGCAAAUAUUUAUAUUUGAGCUCUGGCAAUAACAGGCUUGUUUUGCUUUCUCCAGAAGCCUGUGAUAAUUGAUGCUUCAUACCUGAAACUACGUUUCAUUUAUCUCUUUACACAUGAAGAUAGUAUAUAAAUAAAAGGCAAUUUAUGGCAAGGAAAAGGCCAUUUGAAAUAAUAAUCCUAAAUUUGACUAUAUAAUCAUUUAAAGCUGUAAGAGUCAGUGAUGCAAAUUACUAAACUUUUAAAGGAAACUUGAUUGCAAAGGGGAAAUUUGUGCAUUUUGAAUGCUUAUUAUUGGAUUUGAGUGCCUGCAUGGGCCAAAAAAGAACAAGAAGGAUAAACAGGAAAGCAGGAGAGAAAAGGUGUGCAUGUUACAUGUGUUUUAAACGAAUGUAUGCAAGCACAUAUUUAGACUUCUUGUUACAAUUUUAUUAACUUUCUCUUUGCAUUUCAAUUUUAUUUUGUGCUAACCAAUGCAAAUUGUGAAAUAAUAGCAAGUCUUCUAACGUGCCUGUCCUUCCCUGGGCUCUUCGUCUCAGCAUGAGCAGAGGUACACCGGCCGAUGAGAACUGGACCUUGAUUUCACAACCUCAUACAAAGCCAGGCAAUUCUUGAGCCAAACAAACAAAGGGGGUGUAAGCGAUUUCAUUUAUUUUGAUAAUCCUCCUCCUGCACGGGAGCAUUUUGCUGUCUUUGUCAAAGUGAAUGACAACAAUUUGGCCAACUCUCUCUGAGCUGCACUCAACAGUGACAGGCAAAUUAUCAGAGGCCCUGCACUUCUUAUUAUCAGAGGAGAAGCCAUCAAGGGGACGCAUGGAGGAUACCUCUCCCUUGUCACUAUUUGUCAGUGGGACAAGGGCCACUGCUAUGGGUAGCUGACAGGUAAUUUCAACAAUAACAAUUACUCCUAUUACUGGUGUCAUAAACAAUUCGCCCAAGGCAUGACAAUAGCAAAGCUUUAUAAUUCAAUGCCAUAUAAAUAAAUGCCAGCAGGUAACAAGUAAUUUAGCUCCAAUCAAGCUUUCACCCCGGCAUUAAUAUUGUUAUUGCAAGAAAAUGGAAAAUUGAAAAAAUUCAAUAUGUUAAUGAAUUAAGAGAAGUUCAAGGGCUAGACAAGAGGAGUUGAAACAAGGAAACCAAAAUUAUUAUGGUAUCAUAUUUGGUGCUAUCCUGGGGGCCCAAACAUCAGUAUAAUUACUUUAAGACAAGAAGGGGAAGCCAGCGUGCUGUUGCCCUAGCCUUCAAACCAGGGGGAAAAAUGUGACAUGGCCUUUCAAAAAAUCCGCCUUGCUCCAAUUUCCCGAAGAAUAUAAGUAGAAAUAUGAGAAUGUAUAUGUAAUGUAGCAUUUCACUGGCUUUUUUUUUCCUACCUGAAAUAUUUCAUAUGAAGCAGAGGCAUGAGUAUCAAAGGAGCAUUUCCAUCUGUUUAAGGAAAUCACAUCAGCACCUGCUUCCUUUACAUUAAGUCUCAUAACGAAACUAUUUUAAUAAGCCUUUUUCUUACGUGGGGUGAAGGGAAAGCUAAAAGUCAUCUUUGCUCUCCAGCUGUCCAGCUUUUGGAAGUGGACCGGGGGAUACGGUGUUAUCUUUGAACGUAAAAUUUCCUGAUCAAACCCAUUUGCAAUUUUAGUAUUUGUCCAGCAAGACAAUGUGCCAUCACGGUGACAGCAGUAAAAGAAUUUGAAAAUCUCUAAUUAGGAGAGCUGCAGAGCAAUUAACGCAUGUCAAAUUUCACUUCAUCAAGUGCCACUCUAAUUUUCCCUCUAAAAAUUAAUGGAUUUUUUUUUCUUUUGGUAUGUGUGUGUGUGUCCCCUUAAGGCAAUGUUGAUUCAAAUCUGCUCAAGAUGCAGUGUUGCACAGCUAAGCAUCUUCUUGAUUACAAUCCGCCACACUUCUAACUGCGCUCAUUCUCACUGCCACGGAUACUUUGUCAACAGUCAAAUUACACCACGCUGAUAACAAUGCAUAAUGGUGUUCCUCCUCUGAGGCCCCUGUCAGGAGAUGGGGUUCAUAAAAAUGUGAUGUUUUCUUCUCAGCUGUUUCCAAAGGAAGUUUGUAUGACCAGGUUCCUAGUCAGGCAUUCAUUUUUUUAAAAAAUUAAUGUGCUAAAUUCAAAAGAAAAAAAAAAAGAGAGAGAGAAAGGAACAAAAUGAUGGAAUAUGAAAAUUCCUCACUGAAAAAAAAAUCAGAGGAAGAAUGAGGAAUUGAGAAUAUCUGUGGCCAAAGUUUUGCUUAGACACUUUGUUCGGAGACAUUUUCAAGAGCACUAUUCUUGGUUAAAUACCAGAUUUUUUCCCCUUUACUUAUGGUCUAUAAACAUUGGAAGCCUCUCUUGAACAGACUGUAUUUAGAUUGUGCGAGAAGUUUGUUUAACUGCCAUAUUUGCCAGAAUCCUCAAAACAUCACAGGACACAGAAGACAAAUGACUUUUUUUGGGGGGGGAGGUGGGUCAGGACUGUAUAUUCCAGAUAAAUGUUGAUUCAUUUUAACUAUUUUUUAUCCUAGUUGCUUGUUGCAGAUUGGUGUGUCUGAGACAUCAACACAUGUGAGGAAUAUUUCUCACUGAAAAACGAAAGAAAGAAAUGCAGUGAUUAGAAAAUGAUUUUACAAUUCUUCAGAUAGAUUGAAACAUUCACAUAGAUUGAUACCUCAGUUUUCUCAGCAUGUCAAAUCCAGCUUUUUAUUUGCUGACAACUAACUCAAAAAUCAAAACUUGGUAUUUCAAGGAGAUCUGAAGUUAGAAACCAGUUGUCCACGUCACUGGCUCUUCACCUUGCAGUCUCCUCUGUGGUGAAGCCAUGCAGGACAGAGGUCUCUGAGCACAGCAGGAGCCUGCACCCUGAUGUUCUACCCACCACUGUGGACCCAUGACACGAGCCAGUCAGUGUGGUUCUCAAGCCCCCGGUACCGGGCACACUAUGUGAGCGGUACAGUCACACGCGUGUCAAAGCACGGACCAAAUCUCAUUCAACUCUGAGGUCCUUGACUCAGUUUACUUGUUGUAUUGGGAAAGCAUUGUGACUUUUCCUCCUUAGUAUAACAUCUUGAAAAUCCAUCACUCAAACAAAGAAAGAUCCUGCCAUGACCUUUCUUCUAGAUUGAUUUGCCUUUAGCUAUGGGAAUGGAAAGUCUUUCCAAAAGGUUUUCUCUCCUCCCACCCAAGGCCAUAGUAACCUUUCUAAAUGCCAUUUGAAUCCUGUUGAUUCCUUCCUCAAAUCCCUCAAUUGCUCUUCCUUGAGUAUGGGGUAAGAGGCCCGUCUACUGCACAAGGGGUAACCUGGCCUCUGACCUUUAUAAAUUCAAUGCUUCCCCUCAUUUGCUAUCUUUUUUAUUCCCCAUGCCCUGCUUUUGGGUGGAUUAUUUCUUCUGAGGUUAAGAUAUUUCUUUGCUUUCUUUGCUAGGCUAAAUCCUUUAAACUCAAGUGAUUCAUCUUCUGGGAAGUCUGUCCUAAACCCCAAGCUGGGCAGGAUGGCCCCCUCAGAGCCCACCUGGCACUCAUGGCUUCCCAUUGCAGCCUUAGCUACACUGUGUUGUACUUGCCUUUUGGUGUUUAUGUUUCUCACUGUUCUGGAAGCUUCUGAGGACAGGCCCUGGAUCUUUCAUUUUGGCAAACUCCUGCACCCAGCCCAGAGUCUGGUAUAUAGGAACAAGGUCAAUACAUGUUUACUGAAUAAGCAAAUGAAUGAAGCCUAAAUUUGACAAGUUCUCCCAUGAGAUAAUUAGGGACACCACCAACCUAGAGGUAGAUUGAUAGCUAGUUGAAAACUGUUCCAAAAGAAAUCGGAGAAGGCAGGCCUAGAUCAGACAACUGAUACAAAUGAUGAUUUAUAAGAAUUAGAAAGGAUAUGAGCUAAGAUGCAGGGGCUACUGAACUCGAGGAGGGUUUUCACCCCCAAAUAAUUUAAUUUCAAAAUGGAUGAGGUGUACAAUUCUGCUUUUAGGGCAAAUAAGUUCAUCAAAUUAAUACAAAUUGUGGGAGGAGAACUUGUCUGAAUGUUACUCACAAUGAGCCAAGAGUGUGAUUGAAGCUAAAAUUUUAUUGUUAUUAACUGUUUAUUGUUAUUAAUUACUGAGCACCUGGAAUCUCUUAGGCAUUUUCAAUAGACACUUUAACUUAAUAACUCAGUGUGAGUUAGCCCUCGCCACAUCUCUGAGAAGUGGGUAACGUGCUAUUGGCCCUGUGCGAAUGGGGACACUGAGGCUCAGGGAGAGUAAACCACCAGCCCAAGGUCACAGAGCUAAAAGGGACAGCAUGACUGGGCGACUCCUGAAGUCACGGAUUGAAGGGUGGUAUUGACAAACUAGAGCACAUUCUGGGGAGUGGGGCUGAUGCGCAUUUCUUUUCUAACAGUGUGACAACAAUCACAUUCUGGUCUCCUCCUCCUAUUUCCAAACCAACUGAGGAAUACACAAAAAUGUCAGACAAAUAUAAAUCCAAACGUCAGCUUUUUCAGAGGAAGCUGGUUAAAUACACACACUAAUCCUGUACCCCAACCCCAGCAGUAAAUGCAGCUGCCAGAACUGCAGGUUCACCUGGAAGGGGCCAAGCCUGCCUGGCAGGGCCCCCACAGGCAGGGACAAAACCUGGCUCCACAGGCAGCUCCUGAGCAGUGGACGCCGCAGGCCUGUGUGGCUUAGCCCCUAGGAUCAGUGACGCCUCCCAGGCAAGCCGCGCCCCUCCUAUGGGCAGGAAUGGGUCAGAGAGAGGCCAGAGUGUGACUCUAAAGCUCCUCAGGGACACAGAAAGCCCAGGAAUGAAGUCCUAGUCCCUAGUGGUGGCCAGGAUGCUAACUGACAUAUCAGUGGCACCAAAAGGUAGAAAGACUGGUGUGAUGGUUAAAUUUAUGUGUCAAAUCAACUGAGCUGUGGUACCUGGAUGUUUGGCCAAAUACCAAUUGAGACGUUGCUGUGAAGGUACUUUUUAGAUGUGAUUGACAUUUAAAUCAGUAGACUCUGAGUAAAGCAGAUUACUCUCCAUGAUGUGGGUGGCCCUCAUCCCAUCAGUUGAAGGCAUUAAAAGCAAAGACUGAGGUUUCCAGAAGAAAAAGAAGUACUCCUAAAGACUGCAACAUCCACUCAUACAUGAAUUCUCAUCUGCCCUACAGAUUUCGGAGUUGCCCAUCUCCCCACUGUGAGCCAAUCUUUCUCCGUUUCUAAAUAUAUAUAUGUAUGUACCUAUGUAUAUAUACAUAGGAGUAUCUCCCAUUGGUUCUGUUUGUCUGGAGAAGGCUGGCUAAUACAACUGGGGAUGUUGAAUAUGCAGCUGAGGAAUUAGCGUGGUGAUCACGGAAGCCAUGUUCACAUUUCUGAUGGGUUCCCACAGGGCAAGCUAUUGGGCUCACUCAAUGUGUCCCGUCAGCGUGGACUUUCUUGAGAUGCUUUUAGCACUUGAAAUGGUUUCACUGGAGCAUGACCGUCCUUGUUAGAGAAAAAAUGCUCAGGUUGUGAGGAGGCUGACUCGGACAGCUGCCUAUUAGGGUCACUUUAAACUCUUUUAAGGGUAGUGACACUAUCUUAUGCUUCUGUUAAAUAAUUCCAAUGCCAUUUUUUCAUGUUUUAAUGUCUAUUAGUUUUAGACAUUAAAACUAAUGUCUAAAACUUUCAUGUCUAUUACUUUAUUGGCUUUCCAACAGUGUCUAGCACACAAUUAGACAAUUAUAGAAUUGAAUUGAGAGUGUAAUAAUGGCUAAUUAGGAACCAAAUUUUAACUUUAAAUGAACAUGUACUUCUCUGUUUU